GGUGGUGUCCGCCACGGGCUAAAAAGGGAAUCCGGUGAGAAGCCGGAGCAGUGCCCGCUACUGUAAGCCCCCAUAGCGUGGAAAAGUUUCUUACACCACUGUCCGAAAGGAUGGGAAGGUUGCUUUUCCGGGGCAAGUCAGGAGACCUGCCAAGCCAU
rnacentral:ncRNA from 1 species